UACGUAGGGUGCAAGCGUUGUCCGGAAUUAUUGGGCGUAAAGAGCUCGUAGGCGGUCUGUCGCGUCGGCUGUGAAAUCCCGGAGCUCAACUCCGGGCCUGCAGUCGAUACGGGCAGACUGGAGUUCGGCAGGGGAGACUGGAAUUCCUGGUGUAGCGGUGAAAUGCGCAGAUAUCAGGAGGAACACCAAUGGCGAAGGCAGAUCUCUGGGCCGUAACUGACGCUGAGAAGCGAAAGCAUGGGGAGCGAACAGG
rnacentral:rRNA from 1 species